GAGGGUAUAGCUCAGUGGUAGACUGCAUGCCUAGCAUGCAUGAGGUCGUGCGUUUAAAUCCCAGUACCUCCA
rnacentral:tRNA from 1 species